CGGGGAAUUUUGGACAAUGGGGGCAACCCUGAUCCAGCCAUGCCGCGUGAGUGAAGAAGGCCUUCGGGUUGUAAAGCUCUUUCAGCCGGGAAGAAAUCGCAUCAGCUAAUACCUGGUGUGGAUGACGGUACCGGAAUAAGAAGCACCGGCUAACUACGCGCCAGCAGCCGCGGUAAUACGUAGGGUGCGAGCGUUAAUCGGAAUUACUGGGCGUAAAGCGUGCGCAGGCGGUUGUGUAAGACAGGCGUGAAAUCCCCGGGCUCAACCUGGGAACUGCGUUUGGGACUGCACAGCUAGAGUAUAGCAGAGGGGGGUGAGAUUCCGCGUGUAGCAGUGAAAUGCGUAGAGAUGUGGAGGAAAAGCGAUGGCGAAGGCAGCCCCCUGGGCCAAUACUGACGCUCAUGCACGAAGGCGUGGGUAGCAAACA
rnacentral:rRNA from 1 species